rnacentral:snoRNA from 1 species
AUUGUAAAAGGAUGAUAUAAUUUGCGAUCUAGGACGAUUUCCCUGAGGACACCGCCAUGUUUUCAUUUAGGGGAUAUUGUGGCAUGCGAAUAAACUUUUGUCUGAUCUUUAU